UACGUAGGUGGCGAGCGUUGUCCGGAUUUACUGGGCGUAAAGCGCGCGCAGGCGGCUGUUCAAGUCCGAUGUGAAAUCUUCCGGCUUAACUGGAAAACGGCAUUGGAUACUGGACGGCUGGAAGGUGGGAGAGGGUAGCGGAAUUCCUAGUGUAGAGGUGAAAUUCGUAGAUAUUAGGAAGAACACCAGUGGCGAAGGCGGCUCACUGGCUCGGUACUGACGCUGAGGCGCGAAAGCGUGGGGAGCAAACAGG
rnacentral:rRNA from 1 species